rnacentral:lncRNA from 1 species
UGCCUCUAAGGCUCAUUGACUUUACUCUCCAUUUCUUCUGCUUCUCCAGCAUCAGAGUGACAGUGGAAAGUACCUUGGGCUUUGUGGUCAGAAGAGCCCAGCUCCAGGGCAGUGUGUUUCCUGAAGCCAUGUGACCUUGAGCAAAUCGCUUUUGUCUUUGACCCUCUGUUUUCUUCUGGGUUAAUGAAAAUAGGGGCGAUGCUUCUUUGCCACAGGUUCAUGACUGCCUGCCACUUCCUCUCUGUUCUCCUGCCUCCUCUGUCUGGAAGACAUGUCCAGUUUCCUCCACUCCUGGAUUCUCCUUGCUUUUGUCCUCAGACCAUCAGAUUCAAGAGAGGCAGUGCAGGUGGAUGGCAAAGGGACCCGGAUACAAAAAGCUGAGUCAGGCCCCGGGCCAGGGCUAACCAUGCGCAGGGCAGAGUCCCUG